UACGGGGGGAGCAAGCGUUGUCCGGAUUUACUGGGCGUAAAGAGCGCGCAGGCGGUCGAUCAAGUCGAGUGUGAAAGCCCCCGGCUCAACUGGGGAGGGUCACGCGAUACUGAUCGACUCGAAGGCAGGAGAGGGAAGUGGAAUUCCCGGUGUAGUGGUGAAAUGCGUAGAUAUCGGGAGGAACACCGGUGGCGAAGGCGGCUUCCUGGACCGACACUGACGCUGAGGCGCGAAAGCUAGGGGAGCAAACGGG
rnacentral:rRNA from 1 species